rnacentral:rRNA from 1 species
GACGAACGCUGGCGGCGUGCUUAACACAUGCAAGUCGAACGGAAAGGCCCUGCUUUUGUGGGGUGCUCGAGUGGCGAACGGGUGAGUAACACGUGAGUAACCUGCCCUUGACUUUGGGAUAACUUCAGGAAACUGGGGCUAAUACCGGAUAGGAGCUCCUGCUGCAUGGUGGGGGUUGGAAAGUUUCGGCGGUUGGGGAUGGACUCGCGGCUUAUCGGCUUGUUGGUGGGGUAGUGGCUUACCAAGGCUUUGACGGGUAGCCGGCCUGAGAGGGUGACCGGCCACAUUGGGACUGAGAUACGGCCCAGACUCCUACGGGAGGUAGCAGUGGGGAAUAUUGCACAAUGGGCGGAAGCCUGAUGCAGCAACGCCGCGUGCGGGAUGACGGCCUUCGGGUUGUAAACCGCUUUCGCCUGUGACGAAGCGUGAGUGACGGUAAUGGGUAAAGAAGCACCGGCUAACUACGUG